UAUUAUUUUAUUUUUUAUUUUUUUUUAAAGUUCAAGCAAAUCUUGAUUUAAUUAGGUAUAUAGUUUAACUAAAUUAUUUCAUUAAAAAUUAAAAAGAGGAAAAAGUAAUUCAGUGUGAUUAAAAUUAUAUUUUGUGAUCCUUUAAGUUUUAGAACAUUGGUAAAAAAUUUCAGAUUACUCUACUACAAAAUUAACGAUACUAAAUUUUCAAAAAAAAAUUCUCUACAAUGAAGAAAGUCAAAACAAACACUGUAAAAAAUGAAAUUAUUCCAAAUAAACAUGUAUCGGAUAUGGAUGAAGCGGUGUUACGAUGGGAAACACUUAUGUCAAAAAAUAUGAUAGUUACAAGUAGAGAUGAAGAAGCUACUAUACUUAAAGUAUUUAUUACUUCAAUCUUACCGACCUAACGUUGGUAACGGAAUCUCGGGCAAACGCGAAUACGAUUUACCUGUGUCGUCGGCCGGUGUCUGAGGAACCGAUAAUUUGUUUUGUAUAUUUGACAUAUCAAUUACCUCCACACCUUUAGGGGUGACCUGAUGUGCUAUUGCCUUUGACGCCGAAAUAAGUGUCCGAACCUCCGCAGGCAUCCCGACAUCAUAGUCUUUCGUUACACUUAGCCGUCUUCGAGCUUAUGAUGUAUACAUAUUUACCGUUGGUGUAAAUUGAGUGGUUCUUCUUAUGAACUCUUUAUCCACAUUUUCUAAACUAUAGCGUGUUGUUCCUAUUACAAUUACUUGAUUUGAUGAGCAUCUCGCCCAAUACUCGAAAAAGUGUCGACAUAAUUUCUUCGAGGAACUCAAAAAAUCAUCUGAAAAACGGAAAAUUAGUCUAUUUUUCAAUGUGCAUGUAUUGGAAUUUCUCCUUUUUUUUAUUACACUUUUUUUAUAUUUAUAUAAUAAACCAUUUACCUAUAAAGAUUAAACUCGUGAAGAAUAGAAUAGCAUUUUCACCUUAUAAUUAUACAAAUAGACAUAUAUUUUAAACAUUAUAUUAUUUAAUAAAAUUCAAAUGUAAAAUAUAUUUAUUCAAAAAUAA